rnacentral:rRNA from 1 species
UACGGGGGGGCAAGCGUUGUUCGGAAUUACUGGGCGUAAAGGGCUCGUAGGCGGCCAACUAAGUCCGACGUGAAAUCCCCCGGCUUAACCAGGGAACUGCGUCUGAUACUGGAUGGCUUGAGUUUGGGAGAGGGAUGCGGAAUUCCAGGUGUAGCGGUGAAAUGCGUAGAUAUCAGGAGGAACACCGGUGGCGAAGGCGGCUAUCUGGACAGAGUCUGACGCUGAUGCGCGAAAGCUAGGGGAGCAAACAGG